rnacentral:lncRNA from 1 species
UCAUGAGGUGUGGGGUGUAAAGGAAUCUCUUGCAAGGAAAUUUAAAAAUGAAUAAUAAAAAUAUUUAUUUCAGGAACAAAAAUAUGAUGGGAUGAACUUUGACUUACACGGUGUACACCUGUAGAAUGAGGUUGUCUUCACAAUCAAAAGCUAUGGAUGGUCAUAUCCAACUCUGUAUUACCAUAAUCUAGUUGCUCUUGAUGAAUUUCCAUAGCUGAAGUUUCGACCUUUUUUACCACAAUAAAAUACCUUAAUCUCCUGUAGUGUUGAAAUGUUACUAAAUUCAGAAGGAAUCUCCUCCAAAU